CCCUACGGGGGGCAGCAGUAGGGAAUCUUCCACAAUGGACGAAAGUCUGAUGGAGCAACGCCGCGUGAGUGAAGAAGGGUUUCGGCUCGUAAAGCUCUGUUGGUAGUGAAGAAAGAUAGAGGUAGUAACUGGCCUUUAUUUGACGGUAAUUACUUAGAAAGUCACGGCUAACUACGUGCCAGCAGCCGCGGUAAUACGUAGGUGGCAAGCGUUGUCCGGAUUUAUUGGGCGUAAAGCGAGUGCAGGCGGUUCAAUAAAGCUGGUGUGAAAUGCUUCUGGUCAACCGGGAAA
rnacentral:rRNA from 1 species